UUGGAGAGGAGGAAUGGAAGGAGAGACUCUUCCAACUACACGUGAGGGACAACCUGAUUAAAGAUGUCACACAAGAGGUGAUAGCUGGAAAAUUGAAUAUUAGCCCGGCAGCCACUCCAUCCCAGAGCCCGGUGGCAACGCCGGUUAAAUGCCCAGCAACAACGGAGAGUGUGGGGGAGGCAGGCAGACAAAAGCUGCCAUGCUCCCUCUCACAACCGUAACAUGCGAAUGAAGGAA